rnacentral:rRNA from 1 species
UGUGGUUUAAUUCGAAGCAACGCGAAGAACUUAACCAGGUCUUGACAUCCGAUGCUAUUUCUAGAGAUAGAAAGUUACUUCGGUACAUCGGUGACAGGUGGUGCAUGGUUGUCGUCAGCUCGUGUCGUGAGAUGUUGGGUUAAGUCCCGCAACGAGCGCAACCCUUGUCCUUAGUUGCCAGCAUUCAGUUGGGCACUCUAAGGAGACUGCCGGUGUUAAACCGGAGGAAGGUGGGGAUGACGUCAAGUCCUCAUGGCCCUUAUGUCCAGGGCUACACACGUGCUACAAUGGCCGGUACAAAGGGCUGCAAGACCGUGAGGUUGAGCGAAUCCCAGAAAGCCGGUCUCAGUUCGGAUUGGAGUCUGCAACUCGACUCCAUGAAGUUGGAAUCGCUAGUAAUCGCGGAUCAGCAUGCCGCGGUGAGUACGUUCCCGGGUCUU